UCUCUCCCCUUGCAAUUGGCAGCGAGUAGCAAGGGGAAGGUGUUGGCACAGACCUGGGUAGGCUUACGGUGCAUAAAUGUACAUUAAGCAUCAUCUGGACUCCAGGGGUGGGGGAAGCUGCCAAGUUCAACUCUGCCCUUCUCUUCUGUCAUCGUUUCCCUUUUUCCCCUUCAUGUCAAAUACGUUCAUGCCGGGUGCUGGACCUGCUCAUCCUGGAAGCAAGGAAAGGCUUCAGUCCUUGGCUGAAGGAGGGGCAAAUUCAGUCCCUCUUAGUUCUGAAGUGUUUGCUCCUGUGACCGCUUUUCCAGACCCGUGGUUUUACCUUGGAGUUCCUGUGCUAGAGGUGACUUGUAGAAGCACCAAGCUUGUUUCAGCUCUGCGUGUGGCAGGAGCUGCCUGGCCAGGUCCUGAUUCCAGUCUGUCAUUCUGUGUGUAA
rnacentral:lncRNA from 1 species